rnacentral:rRNA from 1 species
GUGGGGAAUAUUGGACAAUGGGGGGAACCCUGAUCCAGCCAUGCCGCGUGUGUGAAGAAGGCCUUUUGGUUGUAAAGCACUUUAAGCGAGGAGGAGGCUACCGAGAUUAAUACUCUUGGAUAGUGGACGUUACUCGCAGAAUAAGCACCGGCUAACUCUGUGCCAGCACCCGCGGUAAUACAGAGGGUGCAAGCGUUAAUCGGAUUUACUGGGCGUAAAGCGCGCGUAGGUGGCCAAUUAAGUCAAAUGUGAAAUCCCCGAGCUUAACUUGGGAAUUGCAUUCGAUACUGGUUGGCUAGAGUAUGGGAGAGGAUGGUAGAAUUCCAGGUGUAGCGGUGAAAUGCGUAGAGAUCUGGAGGAAUACCGAUGGCGAAGGCAGCCAUCUGGCCUAAUACUGACACUGAGGUGCGAAAGCAUUGGGAGCAAACAGGAUUAGAAACCCGAGUAGUCC